GAUGAGAGGUCCCCGCAAUGGGGUCCUGUGAACCUGGUCAGGGGAGAAAUCCAGCAGCCAUAAGCAGUCCGCUCUUUGUGCGGUGGGCCUCUCAUCAGC
rnacentral:SRP_RNA from 1 species